AGCCGAUUUGGCGCAGUGGCCAGUGCGACUGUCUGUAAAGCAGAAGGUUCCGGGUUCGAUUCUCGGUGGGUUA